GCGCCUGAGCGCACGGAGCUCAUCCCGGCCUGUCCCCGCGCAGGCGCUGCCCAGCACGGCCCCGGGCUGCCCGGGCUGCACGGGGACACGGCGCGGGACAGGACCGAGCGGCACCGGGGACAGCUGGCAUUUUUUGCAUCAUCAGAAUUUUUUUCAUGAGUCUCUCGAUCAGUGGCAGAAGCUGAAAAUUCCCGAGGAAAAAGCCUCAUGCGCCAAAGUACUGAAAACAUGGGAUGCACGGGAUCCCCGACUCCUCUGGGCCAAGGCAGAAGGAGCAGAGCAAGGCCAGGCCGGCGCAGCGGUGCGGGAGCCCCGGGCAGUGCGGGAGCCCCCGGGCAGUGCGGGAGCCCCCGGGCAGUGCGGGAGCCCCGGGCAGUGCGGGAGCCCCGGGCAGUGCGGGAGCCCCCGGGCAGUGCGGGAGCCCCGGGCGGUGUGUGCCUGGCACUGCGGGGCUGUCCGGGCUGCGGGCACGAGGAACCGCCGCGCAGGCGAAGAGCUCCCGGGCAGAAGGUCAGGGAUGUGAGUGACAGGAUAAAACUAGAGGGACGGAGCAACCUCUUACCCACACUUCAAAGCAAACAAAGUGCCAGUACAGACAGCACAAUGGGGCCAUUGAAACCAGAGAGUGAUAAUGGAAGAGGAGGCGGCACCAUACAGCUUAAAACCAAAGCAGAUUCUUCCCAGAACUCACUCCCAGAGGCAUUACAAACUGAAGGGAAAAACAAGAGAGUAAAAAUAGAUUCAACUCUGAUCCACACUAAUUGCACAACAGGGAUAAUAUGGAUCUCAGAGGUGGAGACCAUGAAGUGGCAGAAUUUUAGAAAUUAAAACUGUGAGCACCAAGAAUUACAGCAGAAGUUGAUGAAUCUGGAAACUAUGACCUAAAAUGCUGUUUCAGCUCUGGGCUGGCUGGGACCUUUCUCUAAGUCCAAGAAUGGGUCCUCUAAGGAUUCCUGCUGCCUUGAUAAACAGAGUCCCUUGCCAGGAAGGUGGGGUAUCCACAGCUUAUAGAACCACUAAACCCCAAGGAGACGGAAAAACAUUCUGCCCCUGGCUGCAAACAGAGCAGGUACGAAGCCUCCACCUCUGUUUGUGAAGUUUUCCUGAUGAACUACAGUGCUUUCCAGCCCAGCAGGAUUCUUCCAUCUUUCAGUUCCAGGGGGAGCUUAUACUGAACAAACGACGUGCACUCUAACUUUAAAAGCUUGCUCUUCCCAUGUAUCUGCCUUUGUUCAGAUUUUAUCUGCCUCAGAAGGCAAGGUAAUUUUGACUAACACAAAGUAAUUAAAAUGAGAGACCCGAGUCUUAAA